AACGAACGCUGGCGGCAGGCUUAACACAUGCAAGUCGAGCGGCAGCACAGCAGUAGCAAUACUGUGGGUGGCGAGUGGCGGACGGGUGAGUAAUGCAUCGGGACCUACCCAGACGUGGGGGAUAACCUCGGGAAACCGGGACUAAUACCGCAUACGUCCUACGGGAGAAAGCGGGGGACCUUCGGGCCUCGCGCGGUUGGACGGACCGAUGUGCGAUUAGCUAGUUGGUAGGGUAAUGGCCUACCAAGGCGACGAUCGCUAGCUGGUCUAAGAGGAUGAUCAGCCACACUGGGACUGAGACACGGCCCAGACUCCUACGGGAGGCAGCAGUGGGGAAUAUUGGACAAUGGGCGAAAGCUGAGUCCAGCAAUGCCGCGUGUGUGAAAGAGGCCUUCGGGUUGUAAAGCACUUUUAUCAGGAGCGAAAUACUAUCGGUUAAUAACCGGUGGGGCUGACGGGACCUUGAGGAAUAAGCACCGGCUAACUUCGUGC
rnacentral:rRNA from 1 species